UGUAAGAGAGACAAGGCAUGCAGUAUCUCAUUUAACCCUCACAAGAAACCCAUUUUCUCAUUUCUCUUGGUUCAAGGACACUGAAAACUAAGAGCUACAUCCUUGCCCAAAUCAUCAGGCCAGCAACGAUUUCAUCCUGAUUGGAGAUGGAAGGCAAGUCCUCCCCUGACGAUGUCACUGCUUGCAGAGCAGCGGCCCCUGGUGGACUUCUGGGUGAUAUUCUCUGGCCCAGCCAUGCACACAAGCCUUUGGCACUCACCUUCUGUUAACGCAGCGGCAGGCCUGGUUCCUAGUUGUCAUUGCCUGACACCUUCUGGUGAGAAGAGGAAGGCACCAGCUAAAAACUUGAAAGGACAUCAGUAGCAUGGGUGAAAAUCCUGAAGUCCCAGAAGGAACAUGCUUGAAAAAAUGCCCACUUCACUAAUGCUGUCCAUGCCAUUGAUGAUGAUUUCAUGUGGCAAGUUGUGGCCACUGCUGACCUCAAGUUUAAAAUGAAAUUCCAAAGUGACUUUUAUUCUUCAUCCCAUGUUGACCUCAUAGAAGAAUCUAGAUGUAUGAAGUAAAAGCCUUUGCUCUCUCUUUCAUUUGUCAGGGCAGUCAUGCCAUUCAGGAAUAAAAUCCCCAGCUUCCAGUGACUAAAGCAGCCUGUCCUCAUGUAUAAGUUCUCAAGAAAGCGCCAGAGCUGGACAGUUUUGCCUGUGACGCGCUGACCUUCUAUCUAGGGACAAUGUGGCCGCCUAGCUUUGGCUGCUAUCUGAAAUGAGUUUGAGUGUCUCAGCUCAUUUCCUAAGAAACACAAAUAAAGCCCACAUAAUAAAG